rnacentral:rRNA from 1 species
UAGAUGCUAUCUCUUGUGCUCAGUCGCCGAUUUAAUCCUGCCGUGGUGCUCUUUACCGAGUGUCGAGGUAGGCCGGCACGUUUACUUUGAACAAAUUAGAGUGCUCAAA